rnacentral:rRNA from 4 species
CCUGGCGGCAGUAGCGCGGUGGUCCCACCUGACCCCAUGCCGAACUCAGAAGUGAAACGCCGUAGCGCCGAUGGUAGUGUGGGGUCUCC